rnacentral:piRNA from 1 species
UAUGGAAUACGGUCCGGACUGUGAC